GUUCUGCAUCAGCUGUUGCUGAGAGCCUCCCUGGGACACCACAGGGAACUGAGCAGUGACUGAUUGCUGGGCUGCUGGAUGCACUGCCUGAAACUGCACAGGAGAGUGGCAAGAAAUGAGGUGAAUACAAGCCUACCACAGAGCCACAUUCACAAAAGACUCCUGCCUCAGUAACUACAAAGAUGGUGCUGAAGCCAAAGGGAAGGCCCAGCAAAAGCACAGAACCUGGGCCAAGGAGUUCAGGACAGGACUCGAGGCACAGGAAUUAUCCCAGCAAGAUCUGCACUGCAGGCCUUUCCUUCUAUACCAGACGGCUUUCGAGGCACAGGCCCAGGGAAGUUACCAGAUUUAACUCAAGUGAUCCAAGACCAGGGGUAAACAGAAGUAGGUGAGAGGAUCUCCCAUGCAGAAGAAAUCCGUCUUACAAAGGAUUCUGAAGCAGCCAAGAAUCAGAUGCUUCCCAGCAUGACUAGAAUGCCUCAGAGAUGACGCUUAAAAGAGCACUAAAAUGUUAACCAUGAGUCUCCUAUCCAAACCUUUCCAAAGUUACGCCCCAACAUAUCUACCUUUAUGAAAUUCCGCCACCUUCAAAUACUCUAUUACUCUGUGAACCACUUCUUCUUCAUGCUUUACGUGGAGUCUCACUACAUUGCCAAGGUUUGUUCCAAAAACCUAUGGACACAAGCAAUUCUGCUGACUUAGCUUCCUAAGUGGCUGGGGCUUAAAAGGCACCCUAUAUGCAUCUUUCUAGCAUUUCUUUUAUGUCUUUCUAAUGCACACUGUUUGGAAGUACAUGCUAGGUACACUAAGAAAGCUCAAAACAAGGAUAUGCUAAUAAAUAAAGUGAAGAUAAUGUCUUAUAAAAUUCCCAAAGCCCACUGAGUUAAGGAUGCGCCUGGAUACCAUGUGUCUACUAGGGUAAAAUGAAAAGGUCAGCAAAACCAAUAUGUACAAGUAUAUAACUGCCUGCUUACAACAUCAGUAGCACAGACCCACCCACAAGAAAAAGGCAAUGAGGAGUAUAUCUUCCCAAGAAUAAGAGGACAGAAUUUGGUAGAUCUAACUUUAAAACUAAUUAUUUUACACAUUUGUAAACAAAACUGAUCCGAAAUGUAGAAAGCAAAAUUAAAAUGAAGUCAAUAGUCUGUGUAUCCAAUUGGCAGCUAAACCCCACAGAAAAUAAUGUGCUUAAUAGUCAAAGGUUGCCAGAAAUGAUGGUGCAUGCUUACAGUCCUCAGGCUCAGAAGACUGAGGCAGGAUGACCACCAAGAGUUCAAGGUCAGCUGGGGCUGCCUUGUUCCAAAGGCAGCAAGAAGAGAGACACUGAGCUGGGCUUGGGCUUUUGAAAUUUCAAAACUAACAACAAAAAGACCUUUAGAUGAUAGAAACAAUAAAAUUCAAGAAGUUAAACAAAAAUCUUGUAAUUAUGAGCUUGAAUUAAGAUACAUAAAUCUGAACUCAUUUAUGUUUUCUAAUUAAAAAAAAAACACAUUUUCAAGUAUCUACUAAAAAGGCCUAGAAACAAUUACCAAUAGUGACAAUUAGCAAGUAAUUAUUUCUAGGGCCAACUAAGUUUCUAAAUAUCACUCCCAUUAAAAACAAUCUGAUCUUUAGAGAAAUGGAGGACUCUAAGUUAAGAGCAGAAUGAUCGGGGCUGGGGAUUUAGCUCAGUGGUAGAGCGCUUACCUAGGAAGCGCAAGGCCCUGGGUUCGGUCCCCAGCUCCGAAAAAAAGAACCAAAAAAAAAAAAAAAAAAAAAAAAAAAAAAAAAAGAGCAGAAUGAUCAUGGACAGUCAUUGCUCUCAAUGGCAGAGAAAUCAUUAAUCGUGAGUUACAUCCCAGAGAACCAGAAGCCAAUUUGACUAAAAUUAGGGAGAAUCUGAGUAUGUUUAAAAAUGGUGACAUGUAUAAAUCCAUAAACUUACAUAAUACAAUGCAAAACACUCUUACCUCUGAAUGAACACUGGUGAACAAGGAAAAGACCUAACAUCUUUCUCACCCUUUUCUGUACAAGCAGGACCUCAGGGUAACUACACUAAGACGACAGAAACAACUCUGCAUAGGCUGGUAGGACGGCUCAGUGGGCAAAGGCACCUGCCACCAAGAAGGCUGACAAGGUGCUCUCUGCUCAAGCUUGAUCCUGCUCUAGCCAACAUGCCUGCUACUUGCUGCCGUGUCUCCUCAUAAUGGACUCUAAUCCCUCUGGAACCAAAAGCCCGAAUAAAAUAGUUCUUUUGUAA